AUUGAACGCUGGCGGCAGGCCUAACGCAUGCAAGUCGAGCGGAUGAAGGGAGCUUGCUCCUGGAUUCAGCGGCGGACGGGUGAGUAAUGCCUAGGAAUCUGCCUGGUAGUGGGGGAUAACGUCCGGAAACGGGCGCUAAUACCGCAUACGUCCUGAGGGAGAAAGUGGGGGAUCUUCGGACCUCACGCUAUCAGAUGAGCCUAGGUCGGAUUAGCUAGUUGGUGGGGUAAAGGCCUACCAAGGCGACGAUCCGUAACUGGUCUGAGAGGAUGAUCAGUCACACUGGAACUGAGACACGGUCCAGACUCCUACGGGAGGCAGCAGUGGGGAAUAUUGGACAAUGGGCGAAAGCCUGAUCCAGCCAUGCCGCGUGUGUGAAGAGGGUCUUCGGAUUGUAAAGCACUUUAAGUUGGGAGGAAGGGCAGUAAGUUAAUACCUUGCUGUCUUGACGUUACCAACAGAAUAAGCACCGGCUAACUUCGUG
rnacentral:rRNA from 1 species